rnacentral:rRNA from 1 species
UGGCCUUGACAUACUAAGAACUUUCCAGAGAUGGAUUGGUGCCUUCGGGAACUUAGAUACAGGUGCUGCAUGGCUGUCGUCAGCUCGUGUCGUGAGAUGUUGGGUUAAGUCCGCAACGAGCGCAACCCUUUUCCUUAUUUGCCAGCGGGUAAUGCCGGGAACUUUAAGGAUACUGCCAGUGACAAACUGGAGGAAGGCGGGGACGACGUCAAGUCAUCAUGGCCCUUACGGCCAGGGCUACACACGUGCUACAAUGGUCGGUACAAAGGGUUGCUACCUCGCGAGAGGAUGCUAAUCUCAAAAAGCCGAUCGUAGUCCGGAUCGCAGUCUGCAACUCGACUGCGUGAAGUCGGAAUCGCUAGUAAUCGCGGAUCAGAAUGCCGCGGUGAAUACGUUCCCGGGCCUUGUACACACCGCCCGUCACACCAUGGGAGUUUGUUGCACCAGAAGUAGGUAGUCUAACCGCAAGGAGGACGCUUACCACGGUGUGGCCGAUGACUGGGGUGAAGUCGUAACAAGGUAGGCGUAGAUGA